GAUUGGACUCCUACGGGAGGCAGCAGUGGGGAAUAUUGCGCAAUGGGGGCAACCCUGACGCAGCCAUGCCGCGUGAAUGAAGAAGGCCUUCGGGUUGUAAAGUUCUUUCGGUAGCGAGGAAGGCAUUUAGUUUAAUAGACUAGGUGAUUGACGUUAACUACAGAAGAAGCACCGGCUAACUCCGUGCCAGCAGCCGCGGUAAUACGGAGGGUGCGAGCGUUAAUCGGGAUAACUGGGCGUAAAGGGCACGCAGGCGGUGACUUAAGUGAGGUGUGAAAGCCCCGGGCUUAACCUGGGAAUUGCAUUUCAUACUGGGUCGCUAGAGUACUUUAGGGAGGGGUAGAAUUCCACGUGUAGCUGUGAAAUGCGUAGAGAUGUGGAGGAAUACCGAAGGCGAAGGCAGCCCCUUGGGAACGUACUGACGCUCAUGUGCGAAAGCGUGGGGAGCAAACAGGAUUAGAAACCCUAGUAUCCAGAGAA
rnacentral:rRNA from 1 species